rnacentral:rRNA from 1 species
UCGGCAAAAUGCCCCCGUAACUUCGGGAGAAGGGGGACCAUCCCGGUGAACCAGACUUUGCUCUGGGAUGUGCUGGUGGUGGUCGCAGAGGCCAGAGAGAAGCGACUGUUUAUUAAAAACACAGGUCCGUGCGAAGUCGUAAGACGAUGUAUACGGACUGACUCCUGCCCGGUGCUGGAAGGUUAAGGGGAACUGUUAGCU